rnacentral:lncRNA from 1 species
GUGGAUUCACAUGGAACACUUUUAUAUAAACCAGAUAAACUAACUAAUAAUUAGAUGGUUCAAACCCAAUCACAUUAGGUCAAGACAACAAGCAAAGGGUUAGCACAAACAUAUUUGCACGGAACCCAAUUAGAAAUUUGGAUUAAUUCAUGUGCUAGCAUUUCAAUUAAUCCAUUGGAUUUAAAAUAAAUCCAAAUAGAUUGGACUA